rnacentral:rRNA from 1 species
GAUGAACGCUGGCGGCGUGCCUAUACAUGCAAGUCGAGCGAACAGACGAGGAGCUUGCUCCUCUGACGUUAGCGGCGGACGGGUGAGUAACACGUGGAUAACCUACCUAUAAGACUGGGAUAACUUCGGGAAACCGGAGCUAAUACCGGAUAAUAUAUUGAACCGCAUGGUUCAAUAGUGAAAGACGGUUUUGCUGUCACUUAUAGAUGGAUCCGCGCCGCAUUAGCUAGUUGGUAAGGUAACGGCUUACCAAGGCAACGAUGCGUAGCCGACCUGAGAGGGUGAUCGGCCACACUGGAACUAAGACACGGUCCAGACUCCUACGGGAGGCAGCAGUAGGGAAUCUUCCGCAAUGGGCGAAAGCUUGACGGAGCAACGCCGCGUGAGUGAUGAAGGUCUUCGGAUCGUAAAACUCUGUUAUUAGGGAAGAACAAAUGUGUAAGUAACUAUGCACGUCUUGACGGUACCUAAUCAGAAAGCCACGGCUAACUACGUG